rnacentral:rRNA from 1 species
UACGUAGGAGGCGAGCGUUGUCCGGAGUUACUGGGCGUAAAGGGUGCGCAGGCGGCGUCACGCGUGGCUAGAUGAAAUCUCCUGGCUUACCUGGGAGGGUGGUAGCCAGACGGUGGCGCUUGAGGGUCGGAGAGGGGCGUGGAAUUCCCGGUGUAGCGGUGAAAUGCGCAGAUAUCGGGAAGAACACCCGUGGCGAAGGCGGUUCUCUGGGACGGUACUGACGCUGAGACGCGAAAGCGUGGGGAGCGAACAGG